UACGGAGGGAGCUAGCGUUGUUCGGAAUUACUGGGCGUAAAGCGCGCGUAGGCGGUUUUUCAAGUCAGGGGUGAAAGCCCGGAGCUCAACUCCGGAACUGCCUCUGAAACUGGAUGACUUGAGUCUUGGAGAGGUCAGUGGAAUUCCGAGUGUAGAGGUGAAAUUCGUAGAUAUUCGGAAGAACACCAGUGGCGAAGGCGACUGACUGGACAAGUACUGACGCUGAGGUGCGAAAGCGUGGGGAGCAAACAGG
rnacentral:rRNA from 1 species